UACGGAGGGUGCGAGCGUUGUUCGGAAUUACUGGGCGUAAAGCGCGCGUAGGCGGCUUUGUAAGUUAGAGGUGAAAGCCCGGGGCUCAACCCCGGAACUGCCUUUAAGACUGCAUCGCUUGAAUCCGGGAGAGGUGAGUGGAAUUCCGAGUGUAGAGGUGAACUUCGUAGAUAUUCGGAAGAACACCAGUGGCGAAGGCGGCUCACUGGGCCGGUAUUGACGCUGAUGUGCGAAAGCGUGGGGAGCAAACAGG
rnacentral:rRNA from 1 species